UACGGAAGGGGCAAGCGUUGUUCGGAAUUAUUGGGCGUAAAGGGAGCGUAGGCGGUUAUGAAAGUGGAACUUUUCAGCGACGGGCUCAACCUGUCGAUCGGUUCCAAACUCCAUAGCUUGAGUCCGCUAGAGGGUACUGGAAUUCCCGGUGUAGGGGUGAAAUCUAUAGAUAUCGGGAGGAACACCAAUGGCGCAGGCAGGUACCUGGGGCUGGACUGACGCUGAUGCUCGAAAGCUAGGGGAGCAAACG
rnacentral:rRNA from 1 species